rnacentral:rRNA from 1 species
UACACGCUGUGACUAGCAUAUCAAUAAGCGGAGGAAAAGAAACUAACAAGGAUUCCCCUAGUAACGGCGAGUGAAGCGGGAAGAGCUCAAAUUUGAAAUCUUAAAGGGUUUCCCUUUACGAAUUGUAGUUUAAAGAAGUGUUUUCUGUUGAGGUUUUGGUAAAAGUUCUUUGGAAUAGGACAUCAUAGAGGGUGAGAAUCCCGUAUUUGACCUUUACUUUCAACUUUGUGAUACACUUUCAAAGAGUCGGAUUGUUUGGGAAUGCAGUCCAAAAUGGGUGGUAAAUUUCAUCUAAAGCUAAAUAUUGGCGAGAGACCGAUAGCGAACAAGUACCGUGAGGGAAAGAUGAAAAGAACUUUGAAAAGAGAGUUAAACAGUACGUGAAAUUGUCAAAAGGGAAGCGUUUGACACCAGUGUUGUUUUUCUGAAAAUCAAUUAAAGAACUGUUUAUGCUAAGCUGUUUAGACUUUAUCAGCUAUCUGUUUAGUUUUGAGCUUUUCUUUAAUGCACUUUUCAGUUAACAAGUCAACAUCAAUUUCUUUUGCUGUAAAAAAGCUUGAGGAAGGUGGCUUGAGAUUCGUCUUAAGUGUUUAUAGCCUCUUGCCUAUGCAGUCGGAGAGAUUGAGGUCUGCAGCGUAGAUCCUUCGGGGCUAAAUGCAUUUGUGCUAAGUUAUAGCAUUUUAUAGACAACUUGUUGACUAUGAUUUGUCUUGUAGCUUACUCGCUUAUGUUAUUUUACCUACGCUUAGGAUGUUGACGAGACUGUCGAUCUC